rnacentral:sRNA from 1 species
GCUGGGUGCAGUGGUGCACACUUGUAGUCCCAGCACUUGAAAGGCUGAAGGAAGAUCUCUUGAGUCCAGGAGUUGAAGACUAGCCUGGGCAACACAGUGAGACUCCAUCUC